rnacentral:rRNA from 1 species
GAUGAACGCUGGCGGCGUGCCUAAUACAUGCAAGUCGAGCGAACAGACGAGGAGCUUUCUCCUCUGACGUUAGCGGCGGACGGGAGAGUAACACGUGGAUAACCUACCUAUAAGACUGGGAUAACUACGGGAAACCGGAUCUAAUACCGGAUAAUAUAUUGAACCGCAUUGUUCAAUAGUUAAAGACGGUUUUUCGGUCGCUUAUAGAUGGAUCCGCGCCGGAUUAAUUAGUUGGUAGGGUAAAUGCUUACCAAGGCGACGAUGCGUAGCUGGCCAGAGAGGAUGAGCACCCACACCGGGAGGGAGACACGGCCCAGAAUCCUACGGGAGGCAGCAGAGGGGAAUAUGGGAAAAGGGGCGAAAGCCUGAACCAGCAAUGCCGCGUAAAUGAUGAAUGUCUGAGGGGAGUAAAGCUCUUUUACCCGUGAUGAUAAUGACAGUACCGGAAGAAGAAGCUCCGGCUAACUCCGUG